rnacentral:lncRNA from 1 species
AGGAACUGAGUCAGACCCCAUCUCAGGGCCCUGCACAAGAUAGGUGCCUGCUCUAAGGCGUGGACCCUCGCCACAGCCCUGGCCCGUCUUGACGGGCGAGGGUUACUGUACUUGUCCCAACCGUACAGAUGAGAAAGCUGAGACUCAGGGCCAGCAACCCGGGUCCCAGCGGAGCGCCCGGCACACGCCGACACUUCAGCACCAGUGGCGGUGGCCACCACUGUGGGCGGAGAUGGCUGCGACGCGUGCGCAGGCAGCAGUAGGGCUUAUGGGAGCCAUUGUACAGUGACAGGAACAUACCAGGACACUGAGAAUAGCGUCAUGUCAUAAGGACUCAGAGCAGGUGGACCCUGCUGUGAUGCACAAAGGUGAGGGUGCAGCUGCCCAGGACACACUCAUGCAUGUUUGUGUGGACCAUGGAAGAUGGCAGGGGAAGAGCUGUCAGAGGACCAUGCAAGAUAUGAUAAAGAUCUAUGUCACUGAAUUUUGUUUCUGUAUUUGUAUCUCAGCUUCCCAGAAAUAAAAAAGAAUUCUAACAUUCA